AUACGAGGGGUGCAAGCGUUAAUCGGAAUUACUGGGCGUAAAGCGUUCGUAGGCGGUUUGUUAAGCAAGAUGUGAAAGCCCUGGGCUCAACCUGGGAACUGCAUUUUGAACUGGCAAGCUAGAAUACUGUAGAGGGUGGUGGAAUUUCCAGUGUAGCGGUGAAAUGCGUAGAGAUUGGAAGGAACAUCAGUGGCGAAGGCGGCCACCUGGACAGAUAUUGACGCUGAGGAACGAAAGCGUGGGGAGCGAACAGGAGUAGAAACCCUAGUAGUCC
rnacentral:rRNA from 1 species